rnacentral:rRNA from 1 species
AUGGGUAUCUUUAAAUUCCCAGUUUCCUUAUGUGAUGAUUUGGCUCAGAUUAUAAGAAAUUUUUGGUGGGGAGAUGAAGAAGACAGAAGGAAAACACAUUGGCUAGCGUGGGAUAAACUCACUAAACUAAAAAGAGAGGGAGGCAUGGGCUUCCGAGAUCUUAGGUUGUUUAAUCAAGUUCUUUUGGCUAAGCAAGCGUGGAGGUUACUGGUGAGUCCAGAUUCAUUAUGUUCUAAGGUUUUGCGGGCCAAAUAUUAUCCCAAUGGUCACAUCUUGGAUACUGCAUUCCCGCAAGUUACUUCCGUGAAUUGGCAGGGCAUUAUGCAUGGACUAGAUCUGCUAAAAAAAGGGGUGAUUUGGAGAGUGGUAGAUGGAAAAAAUGUUAAUGUUUGGAGAGAUAACUGGCUACCUAGAAAUUCCGGCCUCAGAGUUUUAGUCAAAAAGAACCGCACUAGACUGAAAUGGGUCUCUGAAUUAUUUAUGAGUGGAACAAGAAGAUGGGAUGAAAACUUAAUAAGGCACUUGUUCUAUAGUCAUGAUGCUGAUGAGAUCCUAAAUUUACGUAUUCAGACUGGAGGUGAGGGUGAUAUAAUUGCUUGGCACUAUGAGAAAAAUGGCAUGUUCUCUGCUAAAAGUGCGUAUAGACUGGCAUUAAAUCUGCAGGAUGGCAAGGGUGAGACUGGAAUGUCCAGCACUGCCGUUGGCAAGGAAAGGAGUGCAUGGGAUGUUAUUUGGAAGGCCAAUGUUCCUCAAAAAAUAAGAAUUUUUGCUUGGAGAGCUGCAUCCAACAGUUUGGCUACCCAGGUAAACAGAGUUACUCACCACCAAACGGUGUCAGGCAGGUGCACUAUAUGUGGGGUGGAGGAUGAGAGUACCUUCCAUGCCCUUGUGUCUUUUCCAAAGGCGCGCGCCUUCCGUUUCGCAGUGAGAGAAGUGUGGAAUAUUCCUAGUGAGGAGCUACUCAGACUUACGGGGCCCGACUCGAUAUUGAUUCUGCUUGAUCAAUUGGGGUCGUUGGAACACGAUCAAGUAUUAUUCAUGCUUUGGAGAGCGUGGCAUAUGAGGAAUGACUUGAUCUUUGGAAAGGGGAAAUAA